UACGUAGGGUGCGAGCGUUGUCCGGAAUUAUUGGGCGUAAAGAGCUCGUAGGCGGCCUGUUACGUCUGCUGUGAAAGCCCGGGGCUCAACUCCGGGUCUGCAGUGGAUACGGGCAGGCUAGAGUCCGGCAGGGGAGACUGGAAUCCUGGUGUAGCGGUGAAAUGCGGCAGAUAUCAGGAGGAACACUGGUGGCGAAGGCGGGUCUCUGGGCCGGUACUGACGCUGGAGGAGCGAAAGCGUGGGAGCGAACAGG
rnacentral:rRNA from 1 species